rnacentral:lncRNA from 15 species
AUGGUGGCGCAGUGUGCGUGGGAGCGGCCAGAAUGCAGAAGUGUCUGGUUCGAGGCUCGCUCGGUGCCCGGUUCCUGGAGCCUCACCCCGCUGCAGAGGGAGAGGAGGGGGCCGUGUCCCCUCCCGGGUUUCCAGAGAGUCUUCUUUGUGGAAAACGUCCGCUGGUCCCAACGUCAUCAGCCGCUCACUGAAAGAGAGAGAGAGAGAAGUUAGUACAGGUACCAAGAUAUCAUCCAGUACACAACACUACUAUAUUACAUUACAUUACAUUACAUUACAUUACAUUACAUUACAUUACAUUACAUUAAUUUAAUUUAAUUUAAUUUGACACUACUAUAUUUAAUUAAAUUAAAUAAAAUUAGACACUAUUAUAUUAAAUUAAAUUAGACACUAUUAUAUUAUAUUAAAUUAGACACUACUAUUUUAUAUUAUGUUAUAUUAUAUUAAAUUAGACAGUAUUAUAUUAUAUUAGAUUAAAUUAAACACUAUUAUAUUAUAUAAUAUUAAAUUAAAUUAGACACUAUUAUAUUAUAUUAAAUUAAACACUACUAUUUUAUAUUAUAUUAUGUUAUAUUAUAUUAUAUCAUAUUAAAUUAGACACUAUAUUAUAUUAAAUUAAAUUAAACAUAUUAAAUUAAAUUAGACACUAUUAUAUUAAAUUGAAUUAAACACUACUAUAUUAUAUUAUAUCAUAUUAAAUUAAA